rnacentral:rRNA from 1 species
GACAGAGGGUGCUAGCGUUGUUCGGAAUUACUGGGCGUAAAGGGCGCGUAGGCGGUCUGUUAAGUUCGGUGUGAAAUCCCCUGGCUCAACUGGGGAACUGCGCUGGAAACUGGCAGACUCGAGUACCGGAGAGGAGAGUGGAAUUCCUGGUGUAGCGGUGAAAUGCGUAGAGAUGUGGAGGAACACCGAUGGCGAAGGCAGCCCCCUGGGCUAACACUGACGCUCAUGCACGAAAGCGUGGGGAGCAAACAGG